rnacentral:miRNA from 1 species
AGCUGCUGGACACUGCUCAAGAU